UUUUUACUUUUUAUUUGAUAUUAUAGUUGAAUAAAAAGUUUUAUUGGGGUGAUAAAAAAAUUUAAUAAACUUUUAUAUUUAUAUUCAUAAAUGUAUGUUAUUUUAUAAACUUUAAUUUAAAAAUUUAGAUUAAAA
rnacentral:rRNA from 1 species